AGGAUAAAGACCUGCAUUCAGUUCUUGGAACCCACACGGUUACAGCAGAAAACCAACUCCCCCAAAGUUGUGUUCCACACUUUUUGGGCACUGUGGUAUGAGCAUGCCUGCCCUCGACACAUAUAUAUAUAUAUUUUUUUUUUGGUUCUUUUUUUUUUUUUUUUUUUUUUUCCGGAGCUGGGGACCGAACCCAGGGCCUUGCGCUUCCUAGGCAAGUGCUCUACCACUGAGCUAAAUCCCCAACCCCGACACAUAUAUUUAAGACAAAUAAUUUUAAAGUAAUAAUAAGGAGCUCUGACUUAGCUUACUAGGAGACACCUGUUCAGCCUCAGUCUCUGGAGCAUUUUGCUUCCUGUUGAGUGGGUGAGAAUAGGCGGAGGGUGGGGCUGGCUGGCUCUCCAGGCCAGGACCCCAGGGGUCAGCUACUUUGUAUCAGAGUCCAGGAGCCCAGGGCCUCACCACACUGGGCAAAGGCUGGAACUGCACAGCCUCAGCAUUGGGAAGCUGGAAACAACCCCUUAGCACUGGCUCCUUCCAACCUGAGAGGGCUCCAUGUCCAAUGCCUGGCACCUCACUGACCAGAUGAAGAUCAUGAAACAGCCGGUGACAGCCAGAGCGAUGGUCACUUUACCCACCCGUCUGUCCCAGGUUUGUCUCCAUUGCUACUCCAAGGGAAAGUGUGAGAAGCAGCUGCUUCGUGCUCCUGUUCAGGCUUCCAGAAGCCCCUGCCCUCUUCUAGAAAUGCAUGGGAAGCUGUUCUGUCCACUAGGUUAAUUAUGGAGCCAAACUCUUUCACAAUCGGAGCUCACUGCGACCGCCCCCCCCCCCCCAUUAAUUUCUGUCACCAUUUUUGCCUUCAGUUUGUAGAGGAAAGGAGGCAGACCUGCAUGAUGGCAUACCUGUAACCCAGCACUUGGGAGGUGAAGGCGGGAAAUCAGGAGUCAUUUUCAGCUACAUGGAGCUGGAAGGUGUUUCCCGAGGAUGUGGAUCUAUGUACCGUUUGUACACCUGGAGCAUGUUUGCCAAAAGAGGACGGCCAUCACCCUUGGAAACAAAGUUACACACGGUCGAGAGCUGCAGCCAUCGGCGCUGGGACUCCAACCUGGCGCUCUGAACUGCUGAGCCCACUUUCCAGCCUCUCUAUUUGUAAUUAAAAACAAACACAUUUAAUUAAACACAUUAAGUUGUUAAAAA